rnacentral:tRNA from 1 species
GCCCGAGUGGCGGAAUUGGUAGACGCGUUGGUCUCAAACACCAAUGGGGUCAAACCCGUGCCGGUUCGAGUCCGGCCUCGGGCACCA